rnacentral:misc_RNA from 1 species
CCAGUAGAGUCAGCUUGUGCCAUUGCAUCCAUAAGUUCCUCCUCAGUCGCUUCCUCAACAAUGCCAUUCGAAUUCUGCAAAGCGUAAACAGCUCUAUCUAUAGACACAGGAUCUCCAAUCUGAAUGGCAGAUGCAAAAGUUGAACUUGCUUUCACAGCCUUGAAAUCUUUCCAACCAGACUUGUAAUGUAAAUAAAGAGGAUUUGCAUUGGCUGCUUGAGCACAAACAAGUCUAGG